GGACAAUCCAUUCACCUUGAUCACUGAUGGGUCAAAUGAUACAGGACAAGAGAAGAUGAACCCGCUCACUGUGCGAGUUUUUGACAGUGAUUCUGGAAAAGUUGUCCAUAGAUUUUUGGAUAUGUGCACAACAAGUGGGCGUAGCUGUGGCACAGCGGAAGUAAUCUUCCAAAAAAUGAACGAGGUCUUACAGAAACACGCCAUACCUUGGGGAAAUUGUGUUAGCUUAUCAAUUGACAACGCACCUGUGAAUACAGGAGCAAGAAAUUCCAUUGCAUCCAGGAUUCUGAAGGAAAAUGCCAACACAUACAUCCAUGGGUGCCCCUGCCACAUUAUCCACAAUACCGCCAAAAAAGCUGGACUGAGGUUUUUGGAAGUGACUGGAUUUGAUCCAGAGGAUCUGGCUGUGGAUGUUGGAUACUGGUUUAAGGGU